AUAUUAAUAAGCGGAGGAAAAGAAACCAACAGGGAUUCCCUCAGUAGCGGCGAGCGAGGCGGGAAGAGCCCAAGCUCUGAAUCUGGGCGUGCGUUGAGUUUGCGCCCCGAAUUGUGGUCUCGUGGCAAGGCAUCGCUGAGGCGACCGUGCUGGGCAAAAGUCCCUUGGAAAAGGGCGCCAGGGAGGGUGACAGCCCCGUCCACUUGGUUCAGCACUACCAGGCCGUCUCGAUCGCGCUGUUGCUCUUGCCCCAGAGUCGGGUUGUUUGGGAAUGCAGCCCUAAGCGGGUGGUAAAUCCCACCCAAGGC
rnacentral:rRNA from 1 species